rnacentral:rRNA from 1 species
UGGUGGAGCGAUUUGUCUGCUUAACUGCGAUAACGAACGAGACUCUGGCCUACUAACUAGAAGACAGUUCCUCGAGACUGUCAUACUUCUUAGAGGGAUAAGGGGAUUGAAGCCCCAAGAGAUUGAGCAAUAACA